GAUGAACGCUGGCGGCGUGCUUAACACAUGCAAGUCGAACGAAGCAUUUGCGACAGAUUUUUUCGGAAUGAAGUUGCUUAUGACUGAGUGGCGGACGGGUGAGUAACGCGUGGGUAACCUGCCUUGUACUGGGGGAUAGCAGCUGGAAACGGCUGGUAAUACCGCAUAAGCGCACAAUGUUGCAUGACAUGGUGGGAAAAACUCCGGUGGUAUAAGAUGGACCCGCGUCUGAUUAGCUAGUUGGUGAGAUAACAGCCCACCAAGGCGACGAUCAGUAGCCGACCUGAGAGGGUGACCGGCCACAUUGGGACUGAGACACGGCCCAGACUCCUACGGGAGGCAGCAGUGGGGAAUAUUGCACAAUGGAGGAAACUCUGAUGCAGCGACGCCGCGUGAGUGAAGAAGUAAUUCGUUAUGUAAAGCUCUAUCAGCAGGGAAGAUAGUGACGGUACCUGACUAAGAAGCUCCGGCUAAAUACGUG
rnacentral:rRNA from 1 species